ensembl:lncRNA
GGAUUUAAUCGAGAGCACAGCAACACUUGUCUCUUGAGAUUUUGUCACAUAUCUAAUGCAAAUUACUUUUCUGUUGCUUUUUAUUUUACCAAAUCCCACAACAUGCCACUCGUCUGCCAUUUAUAUUUAGAGGAAGAAACAUAAAGAUGUAUUUGCUACACCUGCAGCAAAUACAGGGGGCUCAUUGCCUGAAGGGCAGCCUGGUCCAUCCUUAGACAAUGCUGUGCACUGUGCCUCGGAGCUCAAGCUCACGUCCCUCAAACUCCUCUGGGAAUCUCUCUGACCCUGGAGCCCAGCACUGAGGUCACUCUCCAGAAAAUCCUAAGCCACAGAUAAGCAGCUGCCAAUAAGUUUUGUAAAAAGCCAUCUCAGGGUGUUUGCCAAUGAAACCAGCGUAGCAGCAUAGUUUUAUUCAGAGUUGUCAGUCUGAGGAAGGGUUUCCCAGGUGGCUUGGUGGUAAAGACCCUGCCUGCCAAUGCAGAAGAUGCAGGAUCAAUCCCUGGGUCGGGAAGAUCCCCUGGAGACGGAAAUGGCAAUGCACCCCAGUAUUCUUGCCUAGUAAAUUCCAUGGACAGAGGAGCCUGGCAGGCUACAGUCUGUGGGGUUGCAAAGAGUUGGACAUGACAGAACACGAACGCGUGUCAGUCUGAGGCAGCACACAGGCACUCUGAUGAGUGGGAAUGUGGCAGAAUCAUCUUAAUAAUAAGGGCUCACCCAGACCAGGUGUCAGGCACUAUUCAAAUGCUUUCACGUGGAGCAACUCAUCUAGUACUUCCAACCCUUCAGUGAGGCAGGUGCUAGGAAAUGGAGACUUAGAGAGGUCAAGUG